UUUAGUUAAAUUUAUUUAUUUAUUUAAUAGUAAGGCAGACGCCUACGAUCGUCAUCGGAUGUAAAUUUUUUUAUUAAUUCUCUUUUAUUUCUAACGCUAACUUUCAUAUUAUUAGUGUAAAAGCGUAAGGUUUUAAGGGAACCGAAAGUUACGUGGAGGAGACUCUUCUCUUGACUUGGGAAUCGCCGGUCUCCAGUGACGCUCGAUGGUCGGCUUUUAGAAACGAAUAGAAUUGGACAUAGUCGGUUCGACUAUAAAAUAAAAAUGAAUGGCUCGGUUUCGCAUAGUACUAUAUACUGUACAGUACGUUUUUUGAAUCGUAAAUACCGACGACGGCGUGUGAAAUAAGGAGGAGUAGAAUAAGAACCACCGAGAAGAGAAUUAUACAUUAACAUGACACGAGGAGGCUUCGUUCUGUAGUAGCAUAUUAUGUGUAUUAACCUAGGUCAAGAACACACUCUCCCACUCUCAAUACUCAUAUUUAUAUCGCCAUUUAAUAUCAAUCAAUGGACCAUUUUACUUU